CCUACGGGUGGCAGCAGUGAGGAAUAUUGGUCAAUGGACGAGAGUCUGAACCAGCCAAGUAGCGUGAAGGAUGACUGCCCUAUGGGUUGUAAACUUCUUUUAUAUGGGAAUAAAACGUUCCACGUGUGGGAUUUUGUAUGUACCAUAUGAAUAAGGAUCGGCUAACUCCGUGCCAGCAGCCGCGGUAAUUCGGAGGAUCCGAGCGUUAUCCGGAUUUAUUGGGUUUAACGGGAGCGUAGGUGGAUUGUUAAGUCAGUUGUGAAAGUUUGCGGCUCAACCGUAAAAUUGCAGUUGAAACUGGCAGUCUUGAGUACAGUAGAGGUGGGCGGAAUUCGUGGUGUAGCGGUGAAAUGCUUAGAUAUCACGAAGAACUCCGAUUGCGAAGGCAGUUCACUGGACUGCAACUGACACUGAGGCUCGAAAGUGUGGGUAUCAAACAGGAUUAGAUACCCCAGUAGUC
rnacentral:rRNA from 1 species